AGCGUGGGUAGCAAACAGGAUUAGAUACCCUGGUAGUCCACGCCGUAAACGAUGUCGACCAGCCGUUGGGUGCCUAGCGCACUUUGUGGCGAAGUUAACGCGAUAAGUCGACCGCCUGGGGAGUACGGCCGCAAGGUUAAAACUCAAAUGAAUUGACGGGGGCCCGCACAAGCGGUGGAGCAUGUGGUUUAAUUCGAUGCAACGCGAAGAACCUUACCUACUCUUGACAUCCUGCGAAUUUGGUAGAGAUACCUUAGUGCCUUCGGGAACGCAGAGACAGGUGCUGCAUGGCUGUCGUCAGCUCGUGUUGUGAAAUGUUGGGUUAAGUCCCGUAACGAGCGCAACCCUUGUCCUUAUUUGCCAGCGCGUAAUGGCGGGAACUCUAAGGAGACUGCCGGUGACAAACCGGAGGAAGGUGGGGACGACGUCAAGUCAUCAUGGCCCUUACGAGUAGGGCUACACACGUGCUACAAUGGUCGGUACAAAGGGUUGCCAACUCGCGAGAGUGAGCCAAUCCCGAAAAGCCGAUCUCAGUCCGGAUCGGAGUCUGCAACUCGACUCCGUGAAGUCGGAAUCGCUAGUAAUCGUGGAUCAGAAUGCCACGGUGAAUACGUUCCCGGGCCUUGUACACACCGCCCGUCACACCAUGG
rnacentral:rRNA from 1 species